CGCACUGGUGAGUAACACGUGGAUGAUCUGCCCUUUUGUGGGGAAUACCGCUGGGAAACCGGUGACAAUACCGCAUAAGCCCGAGAGGGGAAAGCAGAAAUGCGCAGAAGGAGGAGUCCGCGGUCGAUUAGUUAGUUGGCAGGGUAAAAGCCUACCAAGACUGUGAUCGAUAGCCGGCCUGAGAGGGCACACGGCCACACUGGCACUGAAACACGGGCCAG
rnacentral:rRNA from 1 species